rfam:Triticum aestivum genome assembly, contig: Triticum_aestivum_CS42_TGACv1_scaffold_591893_7BS
AAAAUACUCCCUCCAUCCGAAAAUACUUGUCCUAAAAAUGGAUAAGAUGGAUGUAUCUAUAACUAAAAUAUGGCUAGAUACAACCAUUUCUAGGACAAGUAUUUCCGGACGGAGGGGGUAAUUC